AAGGCCGCCCGACUCGCGCUAAGAUUUGGCGCCAAAUGCCGCGGGCUCUUCUCGCCCCCGGAAUUCCCGAGUCUCGCGAGAAGCCUGCUUAGUCUGCACGCCUGGGUCCGCGCUGUGGCGCCUGUUUUCGGCGUGUGGUGAGAGCUCGCUGGCAGAAAUUGCUGCGGGUGGAACUUGUCUAUCUGGAAAGACUAUCUGGAUGAAUACAAAGAACUUUACAUUUUCCCCUAGAGGAAAAGAUGCUAGAACCAGAGGAGAAUGGCAUGAUUGACGUACCAGAUUAUGAGCAUGUAGAAGAUGAAAUUUUUCCUCCUUUCCCACCUCCAGCCUCUCCAGAGAGACAAGAUGGUGAAAGAGCUGAGCCUGAUGAAGGCUGAAGACUUGAAGACACUAAUCAGACACAUGGAGCACUGGGCACAUAGACUAUUCCCUAAACUGCAGUUUGAGGAUUUUAUUGACAGAGUUGAAUACCUGGGAAGUAAAAAGGAAGUUCAGACCUGUUUAAAACGAAUUCGACUUGAUCUUCCUAUUUUGCAUGAAGAUUUUGUAACAAUAAUGGUGAAGUUAUGGAAAAUAAUGAACAUGAUGUAACUGCUAGUGAAUGAGAUCCCUUUUUGACAAACUCAUCUGAAAGUGAGAUACUUGCUUCUGAAUCAAGUAAAAGCCUAACGGAAGAGCAACACCAAAGAAUUGAGAGAAAUAAACAACUGGCCUUGGAAAGAAGGCAGGCAAAGCUGCUGAGUGAUAGUCAGUCCCUAGGAAAUGAUAGAGUCUCACUCUGUAGGCCAGGCUGGAGUGCAAUGGCGUGAUCUUGGCUUCCUGCAACCUCCGCCUCCUGGGUUCAAGUGAUUCUCCUGCCUCAGCCUUCCGAGUAGCUGGGAUUACAGGCUCCGGUGGAGAAAUACAGGGCAUUGGACAUGGCCUGCGUGGCCAUGGAGCGCAGCAGCCUGUUCACAACGGGAUCGUUGGGGUCGUUCGCAUUAUCCAGAGAAUCAGCCAGUGUUUUAUUGGACCUGAGAAAGAACAGAAAAACUGUUAAUCCCAGACACAGUAAUUUAUAAGACAAAACUGAGGGGAACCCUUCGCUCAUCCAUCUGAAUACCUUCAUCUGCCAGUAAAUUUAUGUUGGACACAUUUCAGAAGCAACUCUUCAACUACGGAAAUCUAGUUUGCUUUGCGGUUUAAACAAAGCAAGAGUGUCAGCAUUUAAAUAAAUUUCUUAAAUAGUGA